rnacentral:rRNA from 1 species
CAGCCGCCGCGGUAAUACGAGGGGGGCAAGCGUUGUCCGGAAUUAUUGGGCGUAAAGGGCUCGCAGGCGGUUUCUUAAGUCUGAUGUGAAAGCCCCCGGCUCAACCGGGGAGGGUCAUUGGAAACUGGGAAACUUGAGUGCAGAAGAGGAGAGUGGAAUUCCACGUGUAGCGGUGAAAUGCGUAGAGAUGUGGAGGAACACCAGUGGCGAAGGCGACUCUCUGGUCUGUAACUGACGCUGAGGAGCGAAAGCGUGGGGAGCGAACAGGAUUAGAUACCCCAGUAGUCCCUGUCUCUUAUAA